rnacentral:snRNA from 1 species
GUUAAUCACCAUCUUUUAAAGAAAUAAAAAAUUGGAAAGAUAAAGAGAUUACCAUGGCCCCUGCACAAGGAUGACACGCAAAUUUGUGAACCGUUCCAUAUUUUU